AAGAGUAUUUUUCAGGGAGGUUGCGUAAUUUUGAAAACGGGUGUAACGAUAACUUCAAUCAACAAAAGUACUCAAAAUAGAACAAUUUUGGUAUGUUGCUAAUGCUACGUCUUAUUACCAUCUAGUCAUGUCACGGAAAAAAGCUCGAACUGUAUAGCUUAUGAAAUCCAUGUUACAUUAUACAUAAUUGCAUCCACUAAUACUGUUGCAUUAAUAUUUACAGAUAUCAGACGUAUACAAUAAUAUGCCUUCCAUUUGCUUGCGCCUCACAAUAUUGGUGGAUAAAUUAUGUUGAAUAACAUCAUCUUAUGUCAAUGAAUAUUCGAAAAUGAAACAAUUGAUCUUAUGUCAAUGAAUAUUCGAAAAUGAAACAAUUCAAUUCAGCUACCAAUUGCUUGACCAUUAACUGACACGACCACUUCAACGAAAUCGCACGUACAAAGAAAAGUUAACACGUCUACAGUUGUAUCAUCGUUAUGUCAUCGUUAUGUAUUCUGAAAAUUCUACGUGGAAGACAUGAAAAGUAAGAAGUAAGAAAGAUGCACAGUACUUGAAGAUACGACUUGGAUAUUUGUUGUACGUUACAUUGCACCUGGCUCUGACAGCUACUCAACGAAGUCGCACGUACCAGUACGAAGAAAAGGUAACGCGGCAAGGAAGACUUGAUAGUUAAGAAAGAUGCACAGUACUUAAAGCAGUACUUUGCUGUACGGUACAUUGCACCUGUUCGAAUACUCGUAAUCAAGCUAACAACGUGCGUGAGUACAGUACCUGUUAUACGAACAAUGGACUUGAUAUGCAUCAUAAUCAACAUCUUCAAACUUACACUGGGUAGAACAUGUACUAUAAUACGCAAUAAGACGUGUUCUAUUGUCAUAGAAAAGUGACUGGUAUUUUAGUUUUCACUAGCUGAAUGUUCGUUAUUUAUAAUUCACGUUGUCAUUGGCCAUUUUUGGCAAGGUUUGGAAAUUGUGGAAUGGAUUGUAACUAAAAAACUGACUUGUGGACUUAUUUUAUAUAUUGAAAAAUUGACUGUAACCCAUACUCUAAUUUUAAUUUUGUAUACAUACAGUAGCCAUCGUC